rnacentral:misc_RNA from 1 species
AACAAGGCGUACCUGCGGACCUGCGGAGGGAUCAUUACAAGUGACCCCGGUCUAGCCACCGGGAUGUUCAUAACCCUUUGUUGUCCGACUCUGUUGCCUCCGGGGCGACCCUGCCUUCGGGCGGGGGCUCCGGGUGGACACUUCAAACUCUUGCGUAACUUUGCAGUCUGAGUAAACUUAAUUAAUAAAUUAAAACUUUCAACAACGGAUCU